AGAUUGGUGGUUAGCAGAGGAGAAGAGGGUGGGAGCGGAGGGAAAGGGGUAAAAGGGGACAUUUGUACGGUGACAGAUGGCAUCUAGACUUCAGUGGUGAACAUGAUGCAGUCUAUACAGAAGUUGAAAUAUGAUGUAUACCUGAAAUUUAUAUAAUGUUAUAAACCAAUGUGACCUCAAUAAAAGAAAAGAAAAGGAAAAAAGAUUGCAAAGGGUGAAAAAUAAAACAUCCUUAGCUAUUUGAGCAUAAUAAACUAUACAUUUGUGGAAUAGUUAGAUCAAAUGCUCUUUAAACUUGCUGCAUAAAAUAUGAAAUUUUUCAAAACAGGGAGGUAACUCACUUCUUUGCUGUUGGAGUUCUUACUGAACAACCCUGUUGCCAAUUUUAAUUCAUAUUCCAUUGAAGGUGUUAAUGAAAUUUGGGGACAUACCAAUAGAUCUGGAAUAUAUAUAUUAUGUCUGAAAAAGAUGUUUUCUCAGCUCUUGUCAUUCCCCUGAAAAGAGCUCAUGGCAGCCUUCCUGCCUGAAAAUUCAACUUCCUGCCUGAAAAUUCAACUCUUUACUCAUUGAUCAACAGAAUGCAUCUACCCAUAUAGACUAAUUGUCCAGAAUGUAAAUAGUGUAUUUAAUGUGUGUUCUUACUCUGUGUUUAUUUCAUCAGUAGCUGUAAUGGUCAGGGUCCUUGGGUUACAGGCAACAGAAACUGACUUUGGGCAAUUUAAGAAGGGAAUUUCCUGGAAAUUUACCAGGAGAUCAGCGAAUAGACUGGAAAGCUGAGAACAGGGAGUGGUAAUAGUCAUUACUUAAGGCUGCUCUGGAGGACUGAGAAUGUUUCCAGACCAGGAACAAUCAUGUCAGGGCACCACAUGUGGAUAGUAUGGGAUUCCAACAGCUUCUUCCAUCCUAGCAUCUCUCACACGAGAUGCAAAUCCUGGAAGAUAGCAGUUGAUUCCCUGGGCUUCUGGCUCUUCUGAGACAGUGUGAGGAAAUCUAUUUAUUUGACAUUCUUAGUGGGAGGCAGGCAUCUGAAUUUACUGUUCCACCAAGACAAUACAAUAGGAAAGAACAAACUCUCCAAAAUAAAAUUUGCAUCCUACAGAAAGCAGAAGUGGAUGCUGAGCUGCCAAAAAUAUUAAACACACAUGUGUACAACUAUCAUCUACUGCAAUAGUAUAUAUUUAUUUACAUUUGAUUUAUUAUAUAUAUACAUUUGUGUAUAUACAUAGACCUAUUCCACUUUUAGUAGUAUCUUGCAGUGAUGGUGCUUAAUUAAUACUUCACAAAGUUUUACAGAUGUGAUGUAGAUUUAGAAGGCCAUGAAACGCUUCUUUGAUGAUUCUCUUCUGGAAAUAAUUUCCCCUAAUCUGAAUGAUUUCUUCUUUAGGGUCUAGCAGAGAAGGAAUGAGGGUAAUGCAUUGAAUCAAAAGCACAUCUGUUGAUUUAUGGGGUGUUUCAAUAGUAACUUAGAGAUGACAGAUCAUUGAUUUUAUAAUUGUUGAGAAGUUGAGUGGAAAGGCACAGAGAAGGAGGGGUUGAAAUUACAGCAGGACCACUGGCCUUCUGACAUAUUCGGGAAAAGGAUCUCAAGUGUGGAGGGGUCUGGCUUAUGAUACAGAGCAGGGAGUUGGAAAGGAAAGGAGAAAUGAAUAUGAAAUCAUCUAGUCUAGUCCUUUUUAGGACUUGUGAAGCUAACCUAAAAAUUAUCAGAUUUUAUGCUCGAUGAGUAUAUCUUUUGCCUUGAUCUUGUUUAUGGAAGAAGGAGUUAGUUGUUAUUUAGCUAUAUUUAUGGAUAAACAUCUUGAUCAAAUUCAAUAGAGAUACUAAAAUUUUAUUUAAUUAAAAAGUGGAGUGAUCACAUUAUUUUAAGUUCAUACACAAAUACAAUUUAGAGGCCUAACUCUUUUUUAGUGGUCAUUAUUAAAGUGUGUUAUAGUAAUUUGAAAACAUUGUGACGGUCUGUGAUCAAAAAAAUCAAUUUUAAUUUGUUACAUAUUGAAUCCUGAUUUUUUCUUAGUGGCUUGAUCUAUAAUUACUGAUACACAUUCUCUGCAAACUAAGUGCUUUCAGUAGAAAAGAGUGGGUAUUUUGCAACUACUAGUAGAGCUAAAUCUUAUUUAAUUGGGUGGACCAAAAGAAAUAUACUUUCCUCUAUGUAACUUCCUUUGUUUAAAUUGAGGUAUAGUUAACAUAUAACAUAUACUUGUUUCAGGUAUACAACACAAUGAUUCGAUGUUAGUGUAUAUUGCGAAAUGAUCACCUCAAUAAAUCUAGUUACCACUUGUCACCAUACAUAGUUACAAAAAACAUGAUUUCCUUUCAAAUCCAAACCAGUUGUGGCUUUAUUUUAUUCUGACAUGAUGGUGUUCAGUUGAGUUUGGUCUCUUUUUUUCCCAUAGCUCUCCAACGGUGGGUAUUACUUUGUUAUCUCCCAGGCUGACUACGUACGUAAGAAUUACAGAAUGGUCUACCCUGUAGACCAGACUUUGCUUUACUGACAUGGAGCUAAAGGAGCAUGUCAACCAUUUAAAAACUAAAACACGAAGUGGAUGGUAAUGUAUGUGGUCUCCAAGGUGAAACGUGAACAGAUUCCACACUACUAUAAUUUUCUUAAUAAGAGAAUCUUUAGCCAUGGCAUUACCAUAUUUUGUGUAGUCUUGAAAGCAGCAAUGCAUGUAUAGAAAUGUGAAAGUCUCAAACAAAAUCUUAACCAAAGAUCUUUAACAUGGGCAUAAUAGAUCCCUGGGACCUGGAGGUGGUCUGUUGGAGAAACUGCUGGACCAGAAGAAGUAGAUCGUAGGAGAGAGCUUGUGUUAGAGAAAGAUAAGCAUUACCAUCUAACAUGAGGCUGCUUCUCCAGAUGAAGCGGAGAUUGAAAUGUCACACCAGCAUGAUCAAUUAGAUGAUGUAGAAUACAGCCAUUUGCUACCUGACCUUAAUCCACACGGCAAGAAUGACUGAAUGGGGAAGAUGGGAUACAGAGAGACUCAAAGGCACUGCAGAAGCCUCAAACCAGAACCACCAACAGGCAUGGACACAAAAAGCUCCAAGAAAAUCUUUUUCCCUGCAGGCAAAGGACCAGGAAGCAUUCUGAAAACAUCUACCCUGCUCUAGCCAAAAGCCAAACACCAAUGGAAAAAUGCCCCCUCUAUCCUCUAUCCCCUUGUUGGGUGGACACAGGCAGCAUGCUCCCAUAACCCCACAGGGUGGUAUCAGCAGGGCUGAGUGGGAAGCUAACCUUCCAUCCUGUGCAUGGCAGAAGCAGGCAGUGCUUCAGUUUCCCCGCCAGGUGGUGUUGGCAGGACCAAGUGGCAACUGAUCUUCCAUGCCCUGCCCAGUGGAACCAGGCAGUGCAAAUCUGCCAGGGUAGUGUGAUUGGGGCCCAGUGGUCACCUGAGUUGCCAUCUUCACCAGCAGCAGUGAGACUUAAGGAGGCUGUGCACAUUGGGGCUGGUCAGCACUCUGCUUUCCCUUGGGGUCAGGGGGAAGUUGCAACCCCAUCCAGGAGCGACAGGACAGAAUUAGGUGGUGGGGGGUAGUGCUUGUUGGCACUCCGCCUCCCUCCUUCCCCUUCCCUGAUGGCAGAAGAGCCCAGUGGGGUGGGAGUUGGUGGCCCCCUUUCACAACAAAGGUGUCAGUAGGGCAGAAAGGGGACGGACUAUGUACCCCCUGUCUGCAAUGAUGCAGCAUGAAUCAGUGCCCUACUCUUGCCAAGGUGGUACUGGCAGGGCCCAGAGGAACCUGAACAUACACACUCAUCCCACCCUUGCACUGCACCUCACCAGGGGACUGCCUGCUAAACAAAGAAGAUAAAAUAGGAUCCAGAGUCUCAUAGUACAAUAUCCAAAUUCCCAGCAUGCAAUAGAAAGUUACUUGUCAUACCAGGAACAGAAAAACCAAAACACGAAUGAGAAGAGACAAUCAACAAAUGCCAACACUGAGAUGAAUCAGAUUUAGAAAUGAUCUGACAACAAUUUUAAAGCAGUCUCAUAAAAAUGCUUCAUCAGGAAUUACGGAUUCUCUUGAAACAAAUGAAAAAUUAGGAAAUCUCAGCAAAAUAAAAAAUUAGAAGUUAUUAAAAAAGCAACCAAAUGGAAAUUAUAGAACUGAAAAAUACAAUAACCAAAGUAAAAUUUCUUUGAUGGGCUCAGUGGUACAAUGGAGAAGACAGAAUAAAAUCAGUGAAUUUGAGGACGUGUCAAUAGAAUUUAGACAGUAUGAGUAACAGAGAAGACAGAAAAAAAACAUUGGAUAAAUUAGUUAAACUGUCUGGAUUUCACUUUCCUCAUCUUUAAAACAAAGGUCAUGAUUCUAGCUAUGUCAAAGGAAUGUUGCAACAAUUAAUUGAGAUGUAUAUAAAAGGCUUAUUUGGCAGAGAGCCAGGCACAUACGUAUAAAGGUCUUCACAUUAAUCCUCUUCAGCUUGUAAGAUAGCUUGACUCACCCUUUCCACUUAAUCAAUGAGAAAAUGGUCUCAGAAAAGUUAGAUGGGUUCAAGAACCACGCACUUCCCACUCGUGACAGAAGUAUUUACUGAUUAUCCAUGUUCUCCACCACAUUUACUAGCACCCUCGAGGUAAGAUGGAGCAUUUAAGAGCCGGUGUACAACAUUGUGAUCCCUCACUCAAUGGAUCUUUGUUGCCACAGUGAUCUAGAAGCCGCAUCUUGAGAUGUUUGGAGCCCCAAGAUGCAAGUGGACUGGAUUCCUGAUUCACUGCUUGAAGGGUGCUACCCUGGAGAGCUGCCAGACUUGCUGGUGAUUUUCCCCUAGUGAGAAAUAAACCUUUGAUGU